rnacentral:rRNA from 1 species
UACGGGGGGGGCAAGCGUUGUUCGGAAUUACUGGGCGUAAAGGGCUCGUAGGCGGCCAACUAAGUCAUACGUGAAAUCCCUCGGCUUAACCGGGGAACUGCGUCUGAUACUGGAUGGCUUGAGUUCGGGAGAGGGAUGCGGAAUUCCAGGUGUAGCGGUGAAAUGCGUAGAUAUCGGGAAGAACACCCGUGGCGAAGGCGGAUCUCUGGGCCAUUACUGACGCUGAGGAGCGAAAGCGUGGGGAGCGAACAGG